rnacentral:rRNA from 1 species
ACGAACGCUGGCGGCAUGCCUAACACAUGCAAGUCGAACGAGACCUUCGGGUCUAGUGGCGCACGGGUGCGUAACGCGUGGGAACCUGCCCUUAGGUUCGGAAUAACUCCCCGAAAGGGGUGCUAAUACCGGAUAAUGUCUUCGGACCAAAGAUUUAUCGCCUUUGGAUGGGCCCGCGUUGGAUUAGCUAGUUGGUAGGGUAAAAGCCUACCAAGGCGACGAUCCAUAGCUGGUCUGAGAGGAUGAUCAGCCACACUGGGACUGAGACACGGCCCAGACUCCUACGGGAGGCAGCAGUGGGGAAUAGUGAACAAUGGGCGAAAGCCUGAACCAGCAAUGCCGCGUGAGUGAUGAAGGCAUUAGGGUUGUAAAGCUCUUUUAACCGGGAUGAUAAUGACAGUACCGGGAGAAUAAGCUCCGGCUAACUCCGUG